CCUGUGGAUGGAAAUGCCGGUCUGAGACAGCCCGGUUCCCGCUGCUGACCUGGGAGGGGCAGGCCGACCCCCGGAAGCCCUGAGUGGGCAGGGUGAGGCAGCCGGAAGCUUCUGGAGCCCAGGAGGUCCGGCACACCCUGCGGGACAGGACUUGUCUCCCCACCUUCUGAGCCCCCAAGGAACCCAGCCAGGGUGGGACAGGCGACGGGGACGCGGGUGACACCCACCUUCAUUUCAGCCUCCAGCUGGAGGAGGUCGAGCGGGAACUGCCCUGUAGGAGAGAUGGGGGGCCGAGGGGUGCAGCAGAAGGACCGGACAGUAAGGCUGGUUCCCACCCGUGGCCUCACUGGUGGGGACACAGGAAGACGUGCGUCACCUCGUGAUGGGAGUUCCAGGACGCGUCUGGCGGCUCGGACGGUUCCCCGUGACGCCCGCCUGCCUCUGGCGGCCACAGGUCUGACCUCCUUUUGUAAUGGCACCUUUUUAGAAUUUCUUUUUGUUUAUUACCAGUUGAUCUUUGUGAAUUGCCCCCGUGACCUUGGUAAGUCUACCUAUUAAUUGCAACGGUACGUUCUUUGGGGUGGUUGAUGUUCCCAAACCUGUCUGUACAAAUGGCAGGUAUUUCUUCCUUCGCAACCCUCCCCACCCUCCCGGGGCACCGGCCACCACCCUGAGCACCAGCCACCCUGCAGCCCUAGCGAGGGUGGAGGCGGAGCAGCCCUUUGCCCCUCGCUCGCUCCCUCGCUCGCAGGGCUCCCUCCUUUCUCGGUCCUGCAGGGGGCGUGCCAGGAUUAGCGGUCUUUCCGAAAACUACCUUGACUUGCAAAUGGUCACUUCCGGAUGAAGUUCACUCAGCUCUGAGCUGUACCAUUUCUUCCCUUUUCUUUGCUUUUCUAUGUUAAUUUUACUUUAUUUUUUUAACAUGAUUUCUUGUCAAGUUGACUAACAUACAGUGUGCACAGUGCGCUCCUGGUUUUGGGGGUAGAUUCCCGUGACUCAUCGCUUCCGUACAACCCAGUGCUCAUCCCAAACAGUGCCCUCCUCGGUGCCCAUCUCUUUUGUUAAAGGUAAAUUUGCUAUUUGUUUUCUGACUUCUUGAGCUGAGUGCUGAGAAACGUGUCCCGCUUGAGGCUGUGAGUUCCUGAACGGUUAACAGGACCCGUGGCCUGGGGCCCAGCUGGGCCGGCCGAUGGGUGCGUGGCCCCCAUCUGGGGGGGUCCUGCUGCCGCGGGGCCACUGUGGCCACGGACUCGGCCGGGGCCUCACCACCUUCCACCUGCCGGUUGUGAGUGGUUCCUCCUUAUCUGGAAGGGAAGUGCGCUGCUCUGAGGUCAUCUUCCAGGCGUGUCUGUGACGCUGACUUCCUGCUCGCUUUCUGCCAGGCGAGGGCCCGUGUGGUGAAGACAGGGUCCCCGUGUUGCUGCCAGGGCCCCAGGGCCCCAGGGCCAGGCCGGGAACUCCGUCUCCUGCCUGAGCUGUUCUUUGUGUGCCGGUGCCGUCACUUCCUGAGAGCCGGCCAUACCCCCACGAGGAUGGAUCUGUGUCGUCCUUCUCCUGUCGGUUGCUGCUCUUUACGUCUUGAAGCUAUGUUGUUAGAGGCACAGGAUUUGGAGUUGCUGUAUUUUUCUGGGUCCAGUAAUUUUGGUGUCAUCCUCGCCGGGCAUGCUUAGUUGCGUGGUCCUGGCCUGUCGUUGGCUCCACCCCCGGAAGCGGCGAGGUAUGUCCCACUUUGACCACACUGAACGAGGGCAGCGGUUCGCUCCUGGGGGUCUCCCCUCCAGCAUCGCCUCCUUCUCGAAGGGCCCUUGCCAUCUGUCCCGUCCCAUCAGGGCAGGUCCUCCGAUGGCCUCGCUUGGAAGGGGGUUUCCGCUGACGCACACAGGCCGUCUUUACGUUGUCCUGAGGCCUCUUCUCUGGCGUCUGUCUUCCGUGUGGAGGAGUGAGGUCCUGUGGGUCGGUGGAGUGAAGGGCUCCUUCGGCCUCAGAAAACCCUUCGCCGUGACGCCUCCAACAGUGGAAGAAUUUGGCAGAGUCGUCCCACCAUCCGUCAGAAGGAACCCGCGAGGUGCUAAGACUUCAGCCCUGGGGCAAUCGGGCCAAGGGAGGACUCCAUGCAGCCCGUGGGAGGGGAGGGGCCGUCCCCCCACACGCUGGGUGCCGGGGCCCAGCUCUGCCCUUCAGCCCCGCUGUCCUUGAAGCCCUGGGCCCUGAGGCUUUGGGCCAACUAGGGAUCAAGCCGCCACAGGUGCCGUCCGGCCCCAUACGCCUGGAAGGGGUGUCCUUCCUCCAGGAGGGCACGGGUAACCACAGAGGACAGUGCCGGGGACCCACCCCAGCCCAGGGCUGCCUGGAGCACACUCACCUGGUGGUCCUGGUGGGCCCACUUCUCCUUUGUCACCCUUCGGUCCAGGAGGCCCCUGGUACCCUGGAGGGACAGAGACCCAGGAGUGUCCAUCAUCGAGCUGUGACAGGGCCCUUGGGCCAUGCCCCUGUGCCCCGCUCACCCCCAGCCCUUGUGAGUGCUGCGUGCACUAGCCUGGACGGGGGAGGAGCACCACACGAGUUUGGGAGCCUUCACAGCAAGAGCUUUUGUUGAGCAGAAGCACUCGGGGGUCCCACCCAAGGGGCUGCCCCUGGAGGCCACACCACUCCCGCGGGGCGGGCGCGGGCUGACAGAGCAGGCCCGGGCAGGGGGCAGAUCUCAAUUCCGCACGCAAGUGGGUGUCUACUCAGUGUCCGGGGCUGUCCCCCGCGAGGCUGCCAGGACGGCCGUGCUGGGACGACCCGGGAGGUCCCGCGAGGGGCCCGUGAUCACUCUGGAGCAGGGGACAUGGGCCGAUGAGGCACUCCUGCUUCCCCUGGAGCCCAGGCUCACAGGAGGAAGUCCUGCGGCAUCCAGCAUCCCCAAGAGAAGCCACCGCCCCAGCCACCGCGAGGCCCCAGGGGCCCUCACCUGGCAAUCCUGGAGGUCCAGGGCGGCCAGACUCCAUGAAGGCCUGCAAAGAAGCUGGCCGGUGAGGUGAGGGGCUCUGCGGAUUGAGGGCAGCACCCCACCAGCGGUCUCUGAGCCCAGAGUCCCAGCCCUCUGUGAGGCCACACAGACACCGGUCCCCCGUAGGAGCAUGGGGAGGGGGAGGGGGAGGAGACGGGGGUUUGGAAUCAAGAGCCCUGAUUGUGAUAUGACCUGCCCCUUCGGAGUCACUUCAUGUGGCUGAACCUUGUAAAACAGGGGUGUCUGCCCCCCAGGACCACACGGCUCGAGGUUCAGGCUCCCAGAUGCAGAGAGCCCUCACUUCCCCAGGUGGGGUUUGUUUUCUAAUGGAGUACUGGCCAGCCCCCUGCCAGAAAUUGGGGUGUCCCCUCCCUGGGAGAGGCUGACCCCUCCAGGGAGUGGCUGGUGGAUAGGGCCUGUGAGGAGGGGGGGUGGGGGCACUUACGUUGCUGUCAUAGACGGGAGUCCCGGGAGGGCCUGGGGGUCCUGGAGGCCCCGGGGGACCGGGUGGGCCCUGCAUGGGGAGGACAGAACAUGAGGUCAGUCACGUUCACAGCCAGGCCGUGGAUGUGACCAGGGCAGCAGAUGUGAGGGGGGAAUAUUUCACUAAAUAUCUCACUAAAAUCAGAAGACUGAACGUGUGUGACAGCAUAGAAUCAGGAAGCAUCCAGUUUGGUUGUGGCUGUGGGGCCCCCAAGCACAGCUGCCCCUUUCAGAACGUGCCUGGGGGACGUGGAGAGGGCGACAGGACUGGCCGGGAGCAUGGAGACUAACGCAGAGUCUAGCAGCUCAUCUGUGUAUUUCCACGUUCAAGGCAGAGCCCCAGGAGGCCCAGAGGCCAGCAGGCUGAGCCCAUGUGUGAACUUUCAUUUACUUAUUCACAGAAAGAGAACAGACAGCCACCAGGCGGGGUGCAGAGCACUCAUUCUGGCUGUGACCUGCUUACUGGACAAAGCACCAGCCUGUGUAACUCACGCUGCGUCAGGAGCGAGACCAGGGCCAGUGAGGUCGUGCGAACCUCAGGACCUGGCCCCGCCUGCCCUGCGGUCGCCUCCUUGCAGUGCCCCACUGAGGCCAAGGACAGAGGGACUGGAGGCAGCACAGAGGUGGGGUGUCGGGCCCCCAGAGGAGCCGCUGGAGGCAGAGCCCCGUCCCAGCAGACUCCGCGGGGCACACAUGCGCCCUUAGGUCAGAACUGACUCGCCGUCCACCCUUAGGUCAGAAGUGCCGAAAGGAUCCCGGCGCCUGUCUUGCUUGCCGAGGCCCGCGACCCGUCUUUCUGUCACUACUUCAGAUCGCCGCGAGAUGUCACCUCCUGCCUCUUGAUUUUUCACGAGGCAGCAGCCACAUUUAGGCCACGGGAGGAAGGAGCCAUGAUGAAGAACCAGCAGUGAUGGCAAAAGCAGAAAAGUGGGGACCGUCUGACACGCUGGCCUCGGGACCCCACGCCCCGGCCCGGGCCGUGGGAGCAAAGUCACCGAGUGCACCUGGCAGCUGGCUGGGUGCCCAGCCGUGGGACUGGGAGCAGGUCCCGUGUCCGGAGGCCCCCUCUUAGGGAGAAACGGAUAAAAACACCCAGGCUACCAACAUAAACCCUGCUCAGAAGCCUCUGAGGCACUGGGAGUCAGGCUGUGGUGCUGAGGGGCCCCACCGGGGGCAGGGGUCACGCCCGGGACCCACGCGGCCGUGCCCUUCCAGAAGAGCCACUCGGGGCCCCUGUCCCCGCAGUUCAGCUGGAGUGUGCACGCGCAUGUGUGGGGUCCUCGUGCCGGAGGACCGGCCCGGUGUGGUCACGGCGCAGGGCCCUUCACGCCCCCGGGCGUCCCAGCCACGCCGUCCGCCCCUUGGGGAACACUCACCCUCACACCAAAGCCGACGCUGGCAUGUCCUGGCUCCCCUUUCUCGCCUUUCAGUCCGUUCAUCCCGGGGCGACCCUGGGGCAGGGCACAGGGGCGGUCACUGCUGGAGCUGGCUCAUGCCAGCCUGGCCAGCGCUCGGUCCCCGCCCGGGGUCUCCUAGGGCGCCAGCCCCUCUGGCCCGAGACGCCCACAAACGGGCUGGGCAGCCCUAGGCUUCGUCCUGGAGAAGCCGUCCCCAGGCGGGGUGGUCCCUCGGGGCAGGGCAGGGGGAGGAACUGAGGUCUGCGGCCCCCUAGGCCCCCAGGGGCCAGGCCUGAACUGCUGCCCACAGGCGCACGAGAUCCUGGGUCCUUACCGGCCGCCCAGGGAAGCCAAUCUCCCCUUUGUGCCCCGGCCGUCCAUAUGGACCCUGCAGGAAGGAGGAGCGCCUUUCAGGAGAGCAGAGGCCGGCGUCUGCGGUGGCCUCCCGCCCGACACCUGCCUCCGUGUUCGCCAAGCACGCCAGGAUGUACGCUUGGGCCACCACGCCCACUCAGCGGCCAGGCCGCCACGGCACCUCGUGUUCUGCCCCACCGCGCACGCGUGUUUGCGGUGGGAGGCGUGCGCCUACUCACCGGCGGUCCUCGGAAGCCGGGCUCUCCCUGAAUAGGAAACCAGAAGGCGCCGUCAGAUGGCCGGCAGGGCAGUGCCCGAGGGGCUCCGACCACGCCAGGGACGGAAGGAAACGGCAGAGGAAGCAUGCUCUAGAUGGGGGUUUUUGUCCCCAGGGAGCACGGACGAGGCCUGCCGUGGGGGCCCCCCGACCCCGGGGCCGGCCUGAGUUCUCUGGGCCCUGAGAUCCAAGGUCCCACUGCCCAUCCCAGACAACCCUGGGAGACUUCAGGGACCCUCCGGGCCCGUCCCCCACGGCCACUGAAUCCGGGUCCAAGUCCUCCCGGCACCCUCUCAGGGCCUGUCUGGGGGUGGGGGCUGAGGGAGGAGGGUCGGGAUGCCUCCACGGUGGCAGCACCCAGAGGCAGAGGGGCGGCCGCAUCCUCAGGGUGGGGCAUCUGCGGGUGAGGCCCCUGCCGAGUACCCCUCCUCCAGAGCCCCCAGCCCCUCGGCAGGGCGGGCUCAGCUGACAGGCAGGGGAUAACCAGGGGCCGGCUGGGUGGUGGCCGAGCCAGGCGUACGGGCUCUGACCCUCCCAGUGCGGCGCUGAGAGAGGGACAGACAGGGAAGGGUGAGGGGCCCAGGCUACAGAAGUUUCCAGAGCCCUCUCAGGAACGCCCCCCCUCCCCCCCCCCCCCCAACCAGCCCCCGGCCUGGACAAAGGUGAGCAAUCCCAGGCACCCAGCUCACCUUGGCUCCUUUCUGGGCAGGGCCUAGCGUGCCGCCAUCGGGGCUGAAGACUGGGCCCGGCUCGCCCUUCUCGCCCUGGAACAGCAGGGGUGAUGGGCAUGAGGCCGGCUCUGGGGAAGGGAGGGCCUUCGACUCCCACAGUAAAGCCCCAACUCGGGGCAUGAACACCAACCCCGGAGCGGGUGCAUGGUGAGUGGGGUCCUCCCCUCCCUGGGCUCUGCCGUGGGGUGGUCUCCGCGGGGCCUCCAUGGGUCACAGUGAGGUGACCGUGAAGAGAACCGGCGUCAGACUCGGUCAGGGCUCUCGUGUCCUCAUCGCCCCCCCCAGGGUCACAGAGCAGAUGGCGCCUGAGCCUCUCACCUUGGGUCCCGGGGGGCCCCGCUGGCCUUUGGAGCCCAGAUCUCCCUUUGGCCCGGCCGGUCCCUACGAGGAGACAGGAAUGAGGGCCACGCGAGGGACCCUGUCCCACCGCGGCCGCCUGGGCACACCUGCCUCCUCGUCCUGACCCACACCCCGAGACCCCGCCCUGGUCCCCGGGGGCUUCUGCGCAGGAGCCUGAAGGUUCCUCGGCUCUGCGGGCACCCUCCGGCACCGGGCUCACCAGGGGCUCGGGGUCGGUGCGAGGAGGGCCGAGGGGCGACUUACAGGAAAGCCCGCGUACCCCGGCCGGCCCUGCGGAAGAGAGGGGUCGGGUCAGCUCGGGGCGGGCGCGGAGCCGGCUGUGGCUCCCCCCUGGGAUGGCGUGCACAUACCUCGGGUCCCGGCACGCCUGCCACCGCUCUCUGUCCGCGGGCCGGCGGAAACACAGGCCGGAGGAGGAAAAGGGAAAACACAUUAGAGUUAAAGCCCAGCUCGCCUCACGGGCCCAAUGAAACAGCACAGCAAUUAAUGCCCAAGAAAAACUGCUUUCACUCGCCGUCCUGGCUUUGGCCUCAGGUCCCUCAGAUCAGGCACUGGAGAAGCUUCCAGAGACCCCAGGGCCAGAGCGGACUGCCGGCAUCUGGGAACCCAGGGGGUUCUGAUGGGGCAGCUCAGAGGCUGAGGACACGAGGGUCUCAGUGGGAGAGGCCUUGCUCCAUUUAGAUUUUCUGCUAUAGAAUUUCCAUUUCUCUCCGGUCACCCACUCCCAUAAUUUUUUUCUCAUUCAAAUAAUUUAAAAGUCUCACCAUAAUGAGACACCAUCGCUGGUCCAGAAUAGAACCAAGUGGAAACCCUGGAGUCUUUAGGGGGCACCCGAGGUUGGGGGGAGCCGACGUGGGGUCAGGGACCGGGAUGGCACCCGCCGUGGCCAGUGCCGAGGGGAGGGCCGGGCACAGCGCCUGCCCACCCACGCAGUGUUCUUACGUCCUGCUCCGACAUGUAGACGACAGGUCCUGGGGGCCCGGGGGGUCCGGGGAGGCCAGGCUGCCCCACUCCAUCCCUCCCUGGGUCACCCUGGAAGAGAAAGCCGGUGUCUGACUCUGAGAUGGCUUGCGGGGGCCUCCAGAUUGUCCGGGGGGGUCCCUUCCAGGGCUCGGAAGGGGUUCCUGGCGCCCACAGGGUGUGAGGAGCUGCCUGGGCUGGGGACGGCAGUGCUGAGGGCCCCACCUCCCGGCAGGGCAGGCUCCGAGCCAGCACCCCUCAAGGCUUGGCCACGCACGUGCCCGGCCCGCAGACCCCGAGCCCCACUCACUUUCUCUCCCUGGGUCCCUUUUUCUCCUUUGGGUCCCUGCAAAGAUGGAAACAGUUCAUCUCAAACAGAGCCUGAGCCCCCUUCCUGGAGACCCCACACCACCAGCAGUGGCUCUGAAUGGAGACGUAGAGAGUUCUUCCUGGGAAAGGGGGCUGAGCCAGGCAGGAAGCCCGGCGGGCAGCCUGGACCCCCGGCCCACGGAGCCGGGGUCUCUGAGCCCCGUGGGGUACAGAGCACUGGUCAGGACCCCGAGACCACACCGAGGUGUCAGCCUCAUCAGCCGCUCGGGUGGUCCGCUCCCCCACCCCAAGCGUUCCUAGUGGUCGUGCACCUGGGCUCCGGCUGUGCCCUCUCUGCCAGGGAGGCCGGGGAACCCGGGAGGUCCAUCGGCUCCAACUUCUCCCUGCACCCGACACAGGAGGAGACGAGCGUCAGCCCACCGCCCAGCAAAGCCUGGCGUCCGGGGAGGGCCAGCCCAGAGCGGAGGGUCCCAGGGACACCGGGCCAGCUGUGCAGGCAGCUAACACAUGCAGCCUAGACUGUUCUGGAAGCUGCCCCAUCAGUUUGCUCCAAGGAGCACUCCACCAGACGACUUCAUUUUAAGGAAGCAGCGCACAGACCAGACGCGAGGGCAGGCGUGCCCGGUGCCUCCACAACCCGAAUCUGCAUCUUGUGUAACUGAAGCCUGCGUCCGAGCAGAAUGCUGCCCUCUGGCCCGUACAGGGCACUGGCUGGCUCGGCUUUGCUGUGACCCCCGGGGGUCUCCGUCACCUCUGAAGUCACGAAACAGCCCCGCUGAUUCCUCCAGGGGUCAAGGGGCACUGGAUCUGUGUACCCGGGUCCAGGACCCUACAAGCGGGACAGGACCCCGGGCCCGAGACCUCACAGCCACCUCCCACCGGGUCCUCUCUGGUGCCCAGGCAGCUACCUGAUGCGGCCAAAGACUAGGAUUUUUUAACACGUAAAAGGAAAAGCACGAAAUUAAACUAGCAAAGCCACUCUAGCUACUCAGGGAAAUAGUUUCUGCCCGAGAGAAAAUUCUUACUAACGCUGCCCAGAAUAGAAACCUGUCCCCGCUGCUCACUCUCACCAGGCUGAGGGUCUGGGGCCGCGGCGGGCACUGGCAGGAGGGUCCCCUGGGCACCCACCGGCCAUGGCAGAGGCAGCGCCCCACCCCGGGACGUGUCCCCCACGUCUGGUCCAAGUCCUGGGCUCACGGGGGUGUCGGCUGCUUCAGCCAAACCCAGUCCCAACUGGUGCAGACGUUAACAGCAGAACGAGGUGGGAUUUCACAGGAAGGUACCCAUCUUUAUUUAGUUACAAUUGCACUUAGGUCCAAAGUUUAUUGCUUCCCCCAAUUAGAGCCGUAACGAGAACGGAAGCACUGCUAUUUUCCAGAAAGAUCCAUCUUUUAGGGCUCAUUCUGCCCCACGUCCAUCUACCAGACCACCAACGGCACUUCCCCACAUGGACGGUCCACUCCCUUCCAGAAGGCCUCCAGGGUGGACAGUGCCCAGGCAUCAGCGGCCUUGCUGGUCCCCACCGGCGGGCUGGUCCCAGGGGCAUCCCCUGCCCCGCGUGCACCUCCCCACGAGAGCGGAUCAAGCCGGCAAGGGCAGUACCUGUGGCCCGCUGGCUCCGUGAGCAGUUGACCAGAAGGGUCCCCCAGAGCCGUCCAUGUCCUCCUGCGGGCAGCACACGAGGGGGACAGUUGGGUCUGCAUGUCUUACGGGAAGAGAUCCCUCCCGAAGGCCAGCUGCUGGCCUGGGGGGGAGACUCAGCCACAGCUAAGCAGGGCGGGUUCCAAGGGCUGAGGUCGCCUGGAAGCGGCCAUUCUUGGUCCUGGCAUAAGAAGCGUCUGCCAGGUUGCAGGGACCCUGCUGGGGGUGGGGGUGGGGGGCGCCCCGUUCAGCCCUCCUCUGAGUUUAGGGGAUUUUAUUUUUGGCCCGAGCACCAGCCGGGGGCCUGGCUGUCUCACGGUGUUGCUUGGAGCAGUCUUUCCCCAGCACGCACAGGACAGGGGCCCUGGCAUGACCACCUGUGCAACUGGGUGGCUGCUCCCCCACUGCCCCCGGUUCCACCUUGUGGCACCGUCCAGGCGGGGCUCAGACACGGGGCCGGGGAGAGUGCUAGCCUGUGGGGGGUGCCCAGGGGGGCACGGGGCCGCAGACUCGGCUUUCUGGGGGACAGGAGCAACCAGUACUCACAAACCCCGCGGCAAGUCCUGGUCCUGGAGGCCCGGGGGGCCCGGGGGGCCCUGGUGGUCCAGCUGGUCCGGGGGCUCCUGCCAAGCCAGUCUCCCCAGGAGCGCCAGUGGGGCCAGGGUCCCCCUUGCUUCCCUGCACAGGUGGAGAGACAGAAGUCACUACUUUCGGCCACGAGGGUGUCCACUAAACCCCAAGACAGCCACUGCAUGCCGUGCCCACCUGCUUUCCCUAUGUGCUUUUUACAAAUCUGGAAACCAGAGACAAACGGCAUUGCACAAAGCAAACCCAAUAGCCCCCGUUUUUCCUCUGACUCUAGGAAACGGUUUUACCCACUUUAAAAACGACACUACCGAGGGAGACCCACAGGCCCACACACCGGAGAUAUUCCUUCCAGGUCUGGUGCAAGGGGCGCACAGAGCACGCCGUCCCCCGCGGCGGAGGAGGGGGUGGCGAGCUGUGGCAGAUGGAGGGACCACAGUCUCCUGCCUGUGAGGGGCACAGGCGCCCCUGGCCCACAGCAGGGCGUGUUACCCGCGCACGCAAGCCCACCGGAAGGCCCCGGGCAGCGCUGACCACGGCCUCUCCCCAGGGGGCCUCCCCGGCCAGUUCCACUGCCUCCUCCGGCCCCUCGAGUGGGCUGGGGUCCCCUCACCGCUUCCCACAGGCAUCGGAUGCUGUCCUACGGGGGUUGGGCCCCGGCCCUCCACAAGCUGCCCCUGCGGCUGGUGUUAACCCCUUUACGGUCUAUUUAACAGACAGUCAGCAGUUUUGACUUAUUGACCCACUUUACCCACGGGCUCAUUUUAACGGAAUCUUAUAUUUUACUUUCUGGGUUUUAAUACUAGUGCCUUUUGAUUAUAUUUAAACAACUCAUCUAAUGGCCAAUCUUUGAAAGGCUUCUACGUAAAUAUUUGUGCCUAGAAAACUCCA